rnacentral:misc_RNA from 1 species
AACGCAUAUUGCGCCCUUUGGCAUUCCGAAGGGCAUGCCUGUUCGAGCGUCAUUAUCACCCCUCAAGCCUAGCUUGGUGUUGGAUGGUCGGUUACUAUACCUGUAACCCCUCCUAAAAGUAAUGACGGUGUUCUGUUGGACCCCCGAUACAUUGAGCAUCUUUACAGGGCACGUGUCGGUUUAAAGGGUGACAGGCCCGGUCUUUCUCCCACAGUGGGAAAACUCUGAAAGUUGACCUCGGAUCAGGUAGGAAUACCCGCUGAACUUAA